rnacentral:rRNA from 1 species
UACGUAGGGUGCAAGCGUUGUUCGGAAUGAUUGGGCAUAAAGCGCGUGUAGGCGGUCCGCUAAGUCUGGUGUGAAAGCCCGGGGCUCAACCCCGGAAGUGCACUGGAUACUGGCAGACUAGAGGAUGAGAGAGGAGGGUGGAAUUCCUGGUGUAGGGGUGAAAUCCGUAGAUAUCAGGAGGAACAUCGGUGGCGAAGGCGACCCUCUGGCUCAUUUCUGACGCUCAGACGCAAAAGCGUGGGGAGCAAACAGG